UGAAGCUUCGGCAGAUUUAGCUGGUUUCUAGUGGCGGACGGGUGAGUAACGCGUGGGUAACCUGCCUUGUACAGGGGGAUAACAGUCAGAAAUGACUGCUAAUACCGCAUAAGCGCACAGGACCGCAUGGUCCGGUGUGAAAAACUCCGGUGGUAUAAGAUGGACCCGCGUUGGAUUAGCUAGUUGGCAGGGUAACGGCCUACCAAGGCAACGAUCCAUAGCCGGCCUGAGAGGGUGAACGGCCACAUUGGGACUGAGGCACGGCCCAGACUCCUACGGGAGGCAGCAGUGGGGAAUAUUGCACAAUGGGGGAAACCCUGAUGCAGCGACGCUGCGUGAAGGAAGAAGUAUCUCGGUAUGUAAACUUCUAUCAGCAGGGAAGAAAAUGACGGUACCUGACUAAGAAGCCCCGGCUAACUACGUGCCAGCAGCCGCGGUAAUACGUAGGGGGCAAGCGUUAUCCGGAUUUACUGGGUGUAAAGGGAGCGUAGACGGAUGGACAAGUCUGAUGUGAAAGGCUGGGGCUCAACCCCGGGACUGCAUUGGAAACUGCCCGUCUUGAGUGCCGGAGAGGUAAGCGGAAUUCCUAGUGUAGCGGUGAAAUGCGUAGAUAUUAGGAGGAACAC
rnacentral:rRNA from 1 species